GGCCCUAUAACUCAGCUGGUUAGAGUAGCUGACUCAUAAUCAGCAAGUCCCUGGUUCGAGCCCAGGUGGGGCCACAA
rnacentral:tRNA from 3 species